AUGAAAUCUUGAAGGUUGUGCAUGGCAGUAGGAUUGUUAUGAAGGAGAAGAAGUGUAGAGGACACUACCUCUUGGUAGGGAGCUCAGUGCGAGGUGGAGCUUUCGAUGUCAGUGGGAGCUCUACGUGAGGUGGAGCUUCAGGUAUAGGUGGAUUAGGCACGAGACAGGAGACUUGAGAAGAUGAUAGACGACAUCACAAAGUGAAGUUCAUUGCUGCAGAAGAUUAUCCUGAGC
rnacentral:lncRNA from 1 species